GUACCCGGUACCGGGUCUCGGCGCAGGCGUUGCGAGCUUGGAUGGGAGAGAUGCUGGGAGCGCGCCAGUACCCAACCUUUCGGACAGUCUUCCAGCCCACCCUGCCCUCUAACCAAAGGGGAGGGAGACAGCGCUGAAGGGAAGCGCUUUGUCUCCUUGACAACUGUGUGGGUGGGGUGGAGGCGUGAGGAAACCGCUUUGCCUCCUGGCUUGCCCGCCCCUGCGCUGGGCCGCUCCAGAGCUUCCCACCUCGCACCCCUAGAGGCUGGGCGUCCUGGGGAUGUCCCGCCCCGGGCGGAUGCAGUAACCAUAGCGACCCACAAGCCUUCCAGUCACGCCUUGGGGGCCCCUCUGUGCGCACCUUUACCUCGAGGAGCGGGGAAAAUAAGAGGGAAGAGCUUCCUGGCUGGUAGGAAGGGAGAUCCUGACGCCGGCACGACUUUAAGCAAGUGCAUGGAGACAGGAAUGAAGCCAGAACGCAGGUGGGGUGAGCCGCAUGGCAGGAUGAUGGAGCUCAGUCCGGCUGAGAAGUGUGUUCGUUAGCAUCCUGCAGGAGUCCUCAAGGUCAUUCGACAAUUGGUGCUUCAUUCAUCGACUCAAUAAAUAUACAUGAGCACUUACACAGUUCCUGGUACAAUGAACAUAAAAGCUAAAAUCCGUAGCCUGGGCCGGGCGCGGUGGAGCUCACGCCUGUAAUCCCAGCACUUUGGGAAGCCAAGGCGGGCGGAUUACCUGAGGUCAGGGGUUCGAGACAAGCCUGGCCAACACAGUGAAACCCCAUCUCUACUGAAAAUACAAAAACUAGCUGGGCAUGGUGGUGCAUGCCUGUAAUCCCAGCUACUCGGGAGGCUGAGGCACGAGAAUCGCUUAACCCCGGGAGGCAGAGGUUGCAGUGAGCUGAGAUUGCACCACUGCACUCCACCUGGACGACAGAGUGAGACUCCGUCUCAAAAAAAAAAAAAAAAAAAAUACAUGCCUGUAGUCCCAGCUACUUGGGAGGCUGAGGCGGGAGGAUCGCUUGAGCCCAGGAGUUGCAGGCUGCAGUGAGCUAUGAUCAGGCCACUGCUCUCCAGCUUGGGCAACAGAGUAAGACCCUGUCUCAAAAG
rnacentral:lncRNA from 1 species